GAAAGGUUAGUUAAAAUAAUAAUGUAAGGUUGUCAAUCUUAAGUUACUAAAUAUUUAGUACUUUUCU
rnacentral:tRNA from 1 species